rnacentral:rRNA from 1 species
AAUAGAUACCCCGGUAGUCCACGCCGUAAACGAUGCGCACUAGGUCGGGGAGGUUUUCACGCCAUCCCGGCCGAAGCAAAAGUGUUGAGUGCGCCGCCUGGGGAGUACGGUCGCAAGGCUAAAACUCAAAGGAAUUGACGGGGGCUCACACAAGCGGUGGAGCAUGUGGCUCAAUUCGAAGCAACGCGAAGAACCUUACCUGGGUUUGACAUGCACGGAUUAACUCCCGGAAACGGGAGCCACGCCCUUCGGGUGGAACGUGCACAGGUGUUGCAUGGCUGUCGUCAGCUCGUGCUGUGAAGUGUCGGGUUAAGUCCCUCAACGAGCGAAACCCCUGUCGCUAGUUGCUAACAGGUAAUGCUGAGGACUCUAGCGAGACCGCCGGUGUCAAACCGGAGGAAGGUGGGGAUGACGUCAAGUCCUCAUGGCCUUUAUGCCCAGGGCUGCACACGUGCUACAAUGGCGCCGACAGAACGAUGCAAGACCGUAAGGUGGAGCAAACCGCUAAAAAGGCGCCCAGUUCGGAUUGGAGGCUGCG